AUACGGAGGGGGCUAGCGUUGUUCGGAGUUACUGGGCGUAAAGCGCGCGUAGGCGGAUUGAUCAGUCAGGGGUGAAAUCCCGAGGCUUAACCUCGGAACUGCCUUUGAUACUGUCAAUCUUGAGUUCGAGAGAGGUGAGUGGAAUUCCUAGUGUAGAGGUGAAAUUCGUAGAUAUUAGGAAGAACACCAGUGGCGAAGGCGGCUCACUGGCUCGAUACUGACGCUGAGGUGCGAAAGCGUGGGGAGCAAACAGGAGUAGAUACCCUAGUAGUCC
rnacentral:rRNA from 1 species